rnacentral:lncRNA from 1 species
AUGGAACUGGAUGUGACCGAAAAGGCCGAUGUCCACAACGUGAUUAAUGGAAUAAAACUGCAACCGAGCUCCAGUUCUGUUGUGCCAUUAGAGCCACAGCAGCAGGAAAUAUCUCUACGUCACAGAGAAAAAAUUCUGGAAGGGAAGCAACAGUGUGGUAGGAAUCGCCUGAGACAGCAUUCAGAACAGUGCAGUGUUCGUGAAACUAGUAAUAAAAAAUACAGCUGUAAUUGCACGUCAUUUGCUGAAGAUGAAAAUAUACGGACUGUGGAAAAACCUUUGAGCAGAAGAAGUGAGAAAAACAACAAGCAAAAAGUACUGAACAAACUCCAUGAAAGAGGAGAAACUGACACUUGCCAGUCUGAUAAAUAUCAUAUGCUUAAGUCAUGUUCCGAUCACAAUAUUGAAAAAUUAAAUUUUAAACCUUUAUGUUCUGAAGAUCCACUACAAUCUUUGGACCAAGAAAGUAAGGAAAGCAGACAUACCUAUUCAAUCAGCAGCUUCAGAAGAAAGCUUUUCAAAACAAUCACUCUUCCGGGUUUGUUCGUUUCUGACGGUGGUCACACAGACCACAUCUCACUGGACUCUGAAGAUAUUCCAAACUGUGUUCUUCCAUCUGGAAUGGAAUGCGUAGAGACAGUUCAUUCACAUUCUUCUCCAAGGCAUUUCAAAAUGGAUCAUGGUCCAAGUAUUAGUGAAACAGCUGCAAAUAAAAGGUCCAAGAUGCACCAAAAACCCUCGGAAUUAUCUGCAGAGCAUAAAUUUCCGACACAGCAGAAAAGGAAAAAUAAAUCAAACACCUUCAAGCUGGUUCCUGAAGAAAGGUCUACACAUGUUUGUGCAAAACAGGAAAACUUGGCUUCUGAAAGUCCUGAUACAUCCACAUUAAAUGAUGAACAGAGCAGGGAUGAGUGUGUAGAAGUGAUCGAGACAAUUGUGAUAACUGAAAAAAUCAAGACAAAAUGUCGCGGCAAGAAGAAGAAACGCAAGUGUCAGAGUUCACAAAGGAAGGCUGAGGACGAGCCUUCAGUGGACAAGUAUGACUGUCAGGAAUCUUCAAAAAAGGAACCUGAUGCUUCUGAGUCAAAACUUGCAAGUCCAGGAAGAAGUAACGAUGGCAAUGCUUCUGCUCUUGUUUCCAGAAACACUUCUCCAUGCUUAGAUAGAAUACCGGCUGAACCUCUUGUGACAAGCGAGGCUGUUAAAGUGAACGAAACACUUUUCUCAGCAGACAUCUCUCUGAGUGGAUCAGUCACAGAAACUCAGUCUACAGACACUGGUGUUUUGAACCUGCCCAGUGAAGACAGUGUUAAACAGAAGAGCUUAUUUCACGAAAAAGACGAAAAACAGGUCACUGACCAGCGACCACGAGAGCCGGAACGUCCAGUAUUAAAUGAGAUGAAGGAACUGGUUUCUGGAGAAAUGCACUGCAAGAAGCUUCACAAGGAAGUGGUGAAACAAAAGCCUCACACACGUAACAGAGGUAUGGGCGAAAUAAACUCGGGCUGA